rnacentral:lncRNA from 1 species
ACAUUUAAGGGCUGGGCAGCUGGAAGGGUCACAUGACCAGUCAAGAGUGCAGGCUGCUGCAUGAUGGGAUUGUAAUGACUUCCAUGAGCAUGCGUGUUCCUGAACGAGAAACGAGAACAAAAGGCACCUCAGUGGUUUUAUAGAACUCAACUCUUUAAUAAGACGACGCUUCUCCGGCAGACCUGUCGACUGGAAGGCCUGUGUUGAAAUGGACCCUUUUCCUUGGAAAUGAGGGCGGCGCUGGCGCUCCUCUCUUGUUUGUUUCCUAGUCACGGUUAUGGAUGCUCUUUGACCCACAAUGAGAUACAGAGAUCGGGAGGAUGUGGAGAUGGAAGAGAGACAUCGUCCUAUGUUGCUGAGCCUGCCAAUCUGCAGAAGGUUGAAAAUCCACGUGAAGGGAAGCUCAGCUUCCUGUAUCCCUUGGGAAGAGCUGCUAGGACUCCGGUGACAGACCUAUGAGCUGGCUUUUCUAUGACAUAGAGAAUGAACAGAUGAUGUCAUCAUCUACUUCUGAGACAGAAGCUGUCUGACAGGAACUCCCUCAACUUUCCUCUGCUAUCCUGUGCACCUGCUGACACCCACGUCUCUCCCACCAUAUCAUCUUUUAGUGACAGGGUCCAUCUCUCCACUCAGCAAUAAACACCAACUCAACAGAAACUACUCACAAGUUAUAUUCUUGGGUCUUCUGGCCUAUUGAGCAAGCUCCUUGUUGGAUGGACUCAUCAUACCGCAUUCCUUUCUUGGUAACAGCCAUUGUCUUCUAUCUUCUUCCCUGAAGACCAUGGCUUAGCUCGAAAGUACACAGUCUACUUUGUUCCUCAUUGUACUCCAGUGCCUGGUACAGCCCACAGUAUGCCAAAGAAAUGAAGCAAAC